rnacentral:rRNA from 1 species
UAGGGAAUCUUCCACAAUGGACGCAAGUCUGAUGGAGCAACGCCGCGUGAGUGAAGAAGGUUUUCGGACCGUAAAGCUCUGUUGUUGGUGAAGAAGGAUAGAGGUAGUAACUGGCCUUUAUUUGACGGUAAUCAACCAGAAAGUCACGGCUAACUACGUGCCAGCAGCCGCGGUAAUACGUAGGUGGCAAGCGUUGUCCGGAUUUAUUGGGCGUAAAGCGAGCGCAGGCGGAAGAAUAAGUCUGAUGUGAAAGCCCUCGGCUUAACCGAGGAAUUGCAUCGGAAACUGUUUUCUUGAGUGCAGAAGAGGAGAGUAGAACUCCAUGUGUAGCGGUGGAAUGCGUGGAUAUAUGGAAGAAUACCAGUGGCGAAGGCGGCUCUCUGGUCUGCAACUGACGCUGAGGCUCGAAAGCAUGGGUAGCGAACAGGAUUAGA